AAUUUAAAUUUAAUUUAAUUUAAUUUAAUACUAAUUUGGUUCAAUCAUCCAAAUCAGAGUUGGAUUUCAAGCUUGAUUGGAUUAGGCUUGACAGCCUUUCGAAUUCGACUCGAUUUAGAUUCGAUUUGAAUCCAAUUAAGAUCUAACUUGAAUUAGAAGAAUCAUGAUUCAGAGAGCCCAGGUUUCCUAAGAUUCUCUCCCCAGAAUUCACCCCA
rnacentral:lncRNA from 1 species